UUAUUUAAAUACAACGUUAUUGAUAGCUAUUAUUUCUCUUUAAUUUUUUUUUUUGUAAUUGUUUCUGUAAUUUUAUGAGGGUUUUGUACAAUUGGUAUCCACGUUUUAUUUGCACCUGAAUCUACAAUAUUCUUUCAUAUUUUGAGCAUUAGAAGAAGACAAUGUCAUUAAGCAAACCAUCAACACUCGAGUACACAAGUCCUAUUAGCCAAACCACCAGGUCUUAGACA
rnacentral:lncRNA from 1 species